rnacentral:rRNA from 1 species
GACGAACGCUGGCGGCGUGCCUAAUACAUGCAAGUAGAACGCAGUUGCGAACGUGUGAGUAACGCGUAGGUCACUGCAUGGUAGCGGGGACUAACAAUUGGAAACGAUAGCUAAUACCGCAUACAACCAGAUGGACCUGCGUUGUAUUAGCUAGUUGGUGAGGUAACGGCUCACCAAGGCAACGAUACAUAGCCGCCCUGGGAGGGUGGUCGGCCCAAAUGGGACUGGGACACGGCCCAGACUCCUUAGGGGGGGAGCAGGAGGGAAUCUUCGGCAAUGGGGGGAACGCUGACCGAGCAACGCCGCGUGAGUGAAGAAGGGUUUCGGAUCGUAAAGCUCUGUUGUGCAGGAAGCGGUACUUAAACAGAAAGCGACGGCUAACUACGUGCCAGCAGCCGCGGUAAUAC